GCCACUUCUAGCCACUAGGGGAUCAUAGGCUGGCUGGGGGAACACAUAUUAAUGUUAAAAUCCCUCAUAAAGUUAAAUUUU